rnacentral:rRNA from 1 species
CUUCCGUAGGUGAACCUGCGGAAGGAUCAUUAAAGAAAUUUAAUAAUUUUGAAAAUGGAUUUUUUUGUUUUGGCAAGAGCAUGAGAGCUUUUACUGGGCAAGAAGACAAGAGAUGGAGAGUCCAGCCGGGCCUGCGCUUAAGUGCGCGGUCUUGCUAGGCUUGUAAGUUUCUUUCUUGCUAUUCCAAACGGUGAGAGAUUUCUGUGCUUUUGUUAUAGGACAAUUAAAACCGUUUCAAUACAACACACUGUGGAGUUUUCAUAUCUUUGAACUUUUUCUUUGGGCAUUCGAGCAAUUGGGGCCCAGAGGUAACAAACACAAACAAUUUUAUUUAUUCAUUAAAUUUUUGUCAAAAACAAGAAUUUUCGUAACUGGAAAUUUUAAAAUAUUAAAAACUUUCAACAACGGAUCUCUUGGUUCUCGCAUCGAUGAAGAACGCAGCGAAAUGCGAUACGUAAUGUGAAUUGCAGAAUUCCGUGAAUCAUCGAAUCUUUGAACGCACAUUGCGCCCCUUGGUAUUCCAGGGGGCAUGCCUGUUUGAGCGUCAUUUCCUUCUCAAACAUUCUGUUUGGUAGUGAGUGAUACUCUUUGGAGUUAACUUGAAAUUGCUGCUUUUCAUUGGAUGUUUUUUUUUUUCCAAAGAGAGGUUUCUCUGCGUGCUUGAGGUAUAAUGCAAGUACGGUCGUUUUAGGUUUUACCAACUGCGGCUAAUCUUUUUUAUACUGAGCGUAUUGGAACGUUAUCGAUAAGAAGAGAGCGUCUAGGCGAACAAUGUUCUUAAAGUUUGACCUCAAAUCAGGUAGGAGUACCCGCUGAACUUAAGCAUAUCAAUAAGCGGAGGAAAAGAAACCAACCGGGAUUGCCUUAGUAACGGCGAGUGAAGCGGCAAAAGCUCAAAUUUGAAAUCUGGUACCUUCGGUGCCCGAGUUGUAAUUUGGAGAGGGCAACUUUGGGGCCGUUCCUUGUCUAUGUUCCUUGGAACAGGACGUCAUAGAGGGUGAGAAUCCCGUGUGGCGAGGAGUGCGGUUCUUUGUAAAGUGCCUUCGAAGAGUCGAGUUGUUUGGGAAUGCAGCUCUAAGUGGGUGGUAAAUUCCAUCUAAAGCUAAAUAUUGGCGAGAGACCGAUAGCGAACAAGUACAGUGAUGGAAAGAUGAAAAGAACUUUGAAAAGAGAGUGAAAAAGUACGUGAAAUUGUUGAAAGGGAAGGGCAUUUGAUCAGACAUGGUGUUUUGUGCCCUCUGCUCCUUGUGGGUAGGGGAAUCUCGCAUUUCACUGGGCCAGCAUCAGUUUUGGUGGCAGGAUAAAUCCAUAGGAAUGUAGCUUGCCUCGGUAAGUAUUAUAGCCUGUGGGAAUACUGCCAGCUGGGACUGAGGACUGCGACGUAAGUCAAGGAUGCUGGCAUAAUGGUUAUAUGCCGCCCGUCUUGAAACACGGACC